CAGCAGCCGCGGUAAUACGGAGGGUGCAAGCGUUAAUCGGAAUUACUGGGCGUAAAGCGUGCGUAGGCGGCUUCUUAAGUCGGAUGUGAAAUCCCUGAGCUCAACCUGGGAAUUGCAGUGGAUACUGGGUCACUAGAGUGUGGUAGAGGAUAGUGGAAUUUCCGGUGUAGCAGUGAAAUGCGUAGAGAUCGGAAGGAACAUCUGUGGCGAAGGCGACUAUCUGGGCCAACACUGACACUGAGGCACGAAAGCGUGGGGAGCAAACAGGGUUAGAUACCCCGGUAGUCCCUGUCUCUUAUAA
rnacentral:rRNA from 1 species